AUGAUACACUAUGCUCCUUUAUUGCUAUUACUUGGUAUGUAUUGUAAAUUAAGUAUAGAAUUAUUUAUAUUUAUUAUAAUACUUUUAAGUAUUAAUUAUUUUACUAUGUGUUUUUUUUCAUUGAUGUGGUGUUCUCCUUGGUCCCGUUUGUGGAGAGAGUUGGUCGGGAUGUUGUGGGAUCCUCUCAAGAUAGAGCAUUAUCGGGUUCAUCAUGUGAUUCAUUUGAGUUUUUUGUGUUUUGGUUGGGAUGGUUUGUUUAAGCUUAAUUCUAGUCAUUGUAUGCCUUUCAUACUCUUGUUAGAUCUAAGGUGGUAG